GACGAACGCUGGCGGCGUGCUUAACACAUGCAAGUCGAACGGAAAGGCCCUGCUUUUGUGGGGUGCUCGAGUGGCGAACGGGUGAGUAACACGUGAGUAACCUGCCCUUGACUUUGGGAUAACUUCAGGAAACUGGGGCUAAUACCGGAUAGGAGCUCCUGCUGCAUGGUGGGGGUUGGAAAGUUUCGGCGGUUGGGGAUGGACUCGCGGCUUAUCAGCUUGUUGGUGGGGUAGUGGCUUACCAAGGCUUUGACGGGUAGCCGGCCUGAGAGGGUGACCGGCCACAUUGGGACUGAGAUACGGACCAGACGCCAACGGGAGGCAGCAGUGGGGAAUAUUGCACAAUGGGCGGAAGCCUGAUGCAGCAACGUCGCGUGCGGGAUGACGGCCUUCGGGUUGUAAACCGCUUUCGCCUGUGACGAAGCGUGAGUGACGGUAAUGGGUAAAGAAGCACCGGCUAACUACGUG
rnacentral:rRNA from 1 species